AACGAACGCUGGCGGCGCGUCUUAAGCAUGCAAGUCGAACGGCAAGAGAGAAGCUUGCUUCUCUCCUAGAGUGGCGGACUGGUGAGGAACACGUGGGUAAUCUACCCUUAAGAUGGGGAUAGCUGCUAGAAAUAGCAGAUAAUACCGAAUACACUCAAUAUUUCAUAAGAGGUAUUGAGGAAAGGAAGCUACGGCUUCGCUUGAGGAUGAGCUUGCGUCCCAUUAGCUAGUUGGUGAGGUAAAGGCCCACCAAGGCGACGAUGGGUAUCCGGCCUGAGAGGGUGAACGGACACAUUGGGACUGAGAUACGGCCCACACUCCUACGGGAGGCAGCAGCUAAGAAUAUUCCGCAAUGGACGGAAGUCUGACGGAGCGACGCCGCGUGGAUGAAGAAGGCUGAAAAGUUGUAAAAUCCUUUUGUUGAUGAAGAAUAAGGGGAAGAGGGAAUGCUUCUCUGAUGACGGUAAUCAGCGAAUAAGCCCCGGCUAAUUACGUGCCAGCAGCCGCGGUAACACGUAAGGGGCGAGCGUUGUUCGGAAUUAUUGGGCGUAAAGGGCAUGUAGGCGGUUAUGUAAGCCUGAUGUGAAAUCCUGGGGCUUAACCCCAGAAUAGCAUUGGGUACUGUAUAACUUGAAUUACGGAAGGGAAACUGGAAUUCCAAGUGUAGGGGUGGAAUCUGUAGAUAUUUGGAAGAACACCGGUGGCGAAGGCGGGUUUCUGGCCGAUAAUUGACGCUGAGAUGCGAAAGUGUGGGGAUCGAACAGGAUUAGAUACCCUGGUAGUCCACACUGUAAACGAUGUACACUACGUGUUGGGGCAAGAGCUUCAGUGCCAAAGCAAACGCGAUAAGUGUACCGCCUGGGGAGUAUGCCCGCACGGGUGAAACUCAAAGGAAUUGACGGGGGGCCCGCACAAGCGGUGGAGCAUGUGGUUUAAUUCGGUGGUACGCUAAGAACCUUACCUGGGUAUGACAUCUCGUGGAAUGCCUAGAGAUACG
rnacentral:rRNA from 1 species